rnacentral:RNase_P_RNA from 1 species
UUCUGGUAAUCGCGGUCUGCUUAAGCAGGCUGAGGAAAGUCCAAGCUUACACAAGCUGAGAUGCUUGUAGUGUUCGUGCUUGCUGAAAAAAUAAGGCAGGGGGCCUGUGUAACAGGUUACGGCAGAUAAAAGGGCUAAAAUUUCGAUCAUGCCUGAGUAGUCUUGAAAAGUGCCACAGUGACGAAGCAAAUAGGGAAACCUAUUUGAUGGAACGCGGUAAACCCCACGAGUAGGUAACCCAAAUUAUGGUAGGGGCGCUUCAUGACGGAAAUGAACAAAUCAUGGGGGCGAAUGUUAAUUCAUUCGGAGAUAGAUGAUUACCACCGAUUUCGAAUCCUGGUUCGAAUGACGUACGGAACGUGGCUUAUAG